AAUCAAAGUGUUGAGUUCAGUCCAGGACAGCUUCCCUGUUCUGUUAAUUAAACUUUGGGACAUUAAAAUGGGCUAGGGAAGAUGAUUGGGUAGGAAGUAUCAUCUAUUCAUUUGCCUCCCAGCCUACAAAA
ensembl:snoRNA